CUUGGCGGCGCUGAGGUCAUCGCUCGCUGUCGUCAGUGCUAGGAACCUGCGCCCGGCUGAGCUGAGCGAGGCGAGAGGAGAAAGCGAGGCCCGGGGACGGGACUGAGAGCUCUGAAAGGAGGGAGGCGGCUCCCGAGUACUCCGCGCGGGGCAGGCCCCGGCCUCGCCUCUUCGCCCAUUUUUAAGGCUCGAGUUAGAGGCCACCUCCUCCGAGAAGCCUUCGGUGACACCACCUCUCCCAGACGGUUCCCCUUUCUGAUUCCCACAGCAUUUUCCAACCAUUCACGCCGUCUUCCUUCCUCAUUGUGGUUUGGACCUUCUCGAGAAAGAAUCUGGCCUCAGUCUCCCUCUUCCACACUCAGGGACCGCCACCAUCACAGGCACUCGGUAGAUGUCUGCUGAAUGAGGAUAACUUCUACCCAACACCGUGAAGCCUGGCCCAGGGUCUGGCAUACAGAUGCCGUGUUUGUAAGUCCUGGUUGCUCAUCUCGCCCACUUGCACAGCCCACCUGUGUGGCCGACUCAGGAUUGACCCACCUGCUCUCUUCAGGCCAUAUUCCCACGCAGAAGUGGGUCCCACUCCUCAGGCCUCUGUGCUGGCCCCGUCUGUGGGGUUAGCAAGCAGCCCUGCUCUCCAUUUCCAGCUCAGAAGCAACUGGAUCGUUACCUCAUUGGUGACAACUUGACUGUGCUGCCCAGAGCUGAUAAGAAACAUCACCCGGGGAAGACCAGCUGCCUCUUCCUUGCUUCCUAAUCAGGGUGGAAAUACUGCUAAAUAUAUCACAACUCUUUGCAAGCAUCGUUGGGUAAUGAUCGGGACAUCUUUGUGGGUUCCCUAUCAUUUUCUCACAAAGUUGAGCCUUUCAAGGUCAGUUCUAGGCCAGCCAGUCUGGGAGUCAUUCUUUAGAAUCAGAAGAGAAUUUAAGAAGAGGAGAAGAUAAGAUUGUCUCUAAAACCUGCUAAUGAGAACUACAGGAAGGUGGGGAUGCUAGCUACUUUUAAUAUUUCUGGUUUGAACCCCUUCCUCCACCCCAGAAUGAACUGAGAGUAGGUACAGAAAUAGAUAAUGCAAAGACGGUUAGGGUUGAGGGUAAGCAGAAAACUACCCAUCUAGACCGAAGGAAGGCUUGCUAACAUAUCAGUAAGCAAACAGCUUUCUAAUCUGCAGGUAACAAGUUUUACAUCCCUGAGGACACUUUUUGAGAUAGGACUUUGUUUGUUUGUUUGUUUGUUGUUUUUUGUUUUUUUGAGACAGAGUCUCGCUCUGUCUCCCAGGCUGGAGUGCAGUGGCAUGGUCUCGGCUCACUGCAACCUUCACCUCCCAGGAUCAAACGAUUCUCCUGCCUCAGCCUCCUGAAUAGCUGGGAUUACAGGUGCAUGCCACCAUGUCCAGCUAUUUUUGUGUGUGUGUGUGUGUGUGUGUGUGUGUGUGUAUUUUUAGUAGAGAUGGGGUUUCAUCAUGUUGGUCAGGCUGGUCUGAAACUCCUGACCUCGUGAUCUGCCCUCCUCAGCCUCCCAAAGUGCUGGGAUUAUAGGCGUGAGCCACCGGGCCCAGCCUGGGGCUUUUUGAGACCCUAUUGAAGGCUGAGGAAGAAUCUGGAAGCUAAAGAGUAACCCAUUCCACCACCUGCUCUGAAGAUAGAAGAAGCAAAAAAAGAUUAAAUUGUACAAAAAGCACUUAAAUUAGACAACAGAAGAAUUUCCUGAUACAAAGUGGGUGUCUAAGAUGUGUUAAACAAGAUGCCUGCUCCAGCCAGGACUCAGACACUCCUGGAUGGAGAGCAUCUUCACAGUUUGGGAUAAAAGUGACUAUACAGAGUGGUGGAGUGAAGGCUGCAGGCCCCUCCCCAAGGUGGCAUCUAACCCCGGAGGUAUCAGGACCUCAGAGGCUACCCACAUGAUUUCCAGCUGAUGAGCAGAAAUAGCUGUGGCAGGUGCAGGCUUCACUUGCUGCCACCAACAUGGGAGCUCACCAAACACCCAGUGGCCAAAAGAACCAGGGUCUCUCUAAGCCCUGGGCUCACCGCCAGGCAAGCUUGGGUGCUUGGGAGGGCCGUCGUUCUUCACAGUGCAGCCCCUGGAUUUCUUCUCAAUUUACUCAACUCUCUCUCUUGAAUCCCAUCUGUGCAGCUUAGAAGUCACAAAUUAGAACCCCCCAAGGCAAAGCUGACCAUAGAUACAAAUGGUUUUGUCUGUAUAGUGUUUAAGCACUUAAAAAAUUCAUUGUGAACAUUUAAUAAUUAGAAAGUGUCAAAAUGAAAAUAUCUAUAGUUUCUCUCUAAAAACCAGAAGAUCUGUUAACACUGAUCCCACACUUCUAUUUGGCAAUGACUGGCCCCUAAGACAGGGGGUAUGUCCUCUAGCUCACCACAGUCUCCACCUUUACCUACUGCAUCCCUGCUGAGACAAAGUGGUACAUGCCAUUUAUUAAGGAUGAAUGCUGUUUUUUUUAAUUAUACUUAAUCCUCAUUUGCAUUACCUGCCUUCAUUCUGGAGGUAUUUGAGUUUGCAUCUCCUGAUAAAGAAUAAA
rnacentral:lncRNA from 1 species